CUGUGUAUUAAGUAAUCUUUUCUUUCACUGAAUGCCAAGAGAGGACGACAAAGUUAGGGGAGAACUUGUAGAAAGAUGGGUCUUCUGCUACAAGGCCUAGGAAAAUAGGCCUUGAGUUUAAACACAUCAUUACAUUAAAUUCAUAGGUUCCACGUAACUAUUUUGCUCAUAUAGUAAGAAUUAUAAUUGGGAUUUCUUUAAGGUACACUUAGAUCUUUAUAGAAUAUGUAUGAUCAACUUGGUAAGUUUUUAAAUUUUCUUCUACAGGAUUCACAAGACAGUGAUGAUGAAAGUGAGUAUAUUGGGGGUUUUGUUUGUUUUUUAAUGUUUCUGCUGCAGUUAUCCCCACUGAGACCCAACUUUGAAAGCAGAUACCACAUAUAUUUUCUUUUUAGACACUAGGACAAUUUAAAAGAGUACAGGCUAGGUAAAAAUCCUAACCACCACUAGGUAAAGAAGAGGGAAAAUACUUUUAUUACUAUUUUAUGUUUUAGCUACAUAAUGUGUCUGCACUGUAUACCUGGUGCUUGGGAGGACAGAAGAUGCUAUUAGAGCCCCUGAAACUGGAGUAUAGCCACUUAUGAGCAGCCAUGUAGGUGCUGGGAAUUGAGCCUGGGUUCCCUAGCAUAGUAACCAGAGCUUUUAACCUCUCUAGCCUCAAAUUAGGCAUAGACUAGAAUUUGCUUAUUAAGAAAGGAGAGGGCAUUUCCAGGGAUCGAAAUGGGCUAGUGAACUAAGAACCAAAAAAGUCCUGUUACAUUCUUAGAAAGGGUUUAUUCUCUAAGAUGCAUGUUCAGUUUAUGCGUGUUCACAGGUGAUUGCUAGGGAGCUCUCAGUUUUGUUGUCUUCAUUUACAAAUGUUAGAGUAUUGUAGUUCUCUUGUCGUCCUUGCUGAUUGUUUUUAAAAUUCUUUCAGAAAUGCCAGAUCUGGAGUAAAGAGUGGUAUCAUCGCCUGGAUAUUGAGGGGAAAAAAAAAAUAACUUCUGCAAGAUUUCAUAAUUGAGAAAAUCCCUGAGUUGAUAGCUCUAAAGGCAGAUAUGCUGUACUUGGCUCCUUUAACCCAUUUUUCAACUUUUUUUUUUUUAAGGCUUCACUAAGGGUUGAUUAUGUACCAUUGUAUGGGGCAAUUUAAGUCAGCUAAGGCAAUAUCCGUAUGCAUGAACAUUUCCCAGAAUUCCAUGAAGCAGUUGAGGUCCUAGGCAACUGCUACAGCAGCUCUGAUGAAUAACUGCAUCUCAUCUAAGUCUUCUUUUGUCAUAAUACACUUAACUUCUCCAUUAAGAAAGUUCUCAGCUUAGGGAAAGAUAAAGGUUUUAGAUCCUAGAUAAUGGGCUUGAAGGAGGUGGAAACAAAUUGGCUAAUAUCUUAAGCUGAUGCCCCGCCAUUCUUCCAGGAUACCUUUCAGAAUUAUUCCACUAAAGUUUAUUUUUCAAAAAAAUGUACUUUACAUCAUUGUUUGUGAUCACUUGUCAGUGUUCAGGUGUAUUUUAGCUAAGACUAGUGGAUGCCCUAACUUAGAUGGUUUUUGAAGCCUAUACCUUUGGUAUUGUUUGGCCCUUAAGCUUUUACAUCUCUUAGCAUGGAGGACAAAGAAAGCUGUACAUUGUUGCUUGAGAAUAUGUACAUUUUAGACCAGAUUUGUACUUGCACUGUCAGUAUGGCAAAUGAGUGGAAAAUGUUAAUACACUAUUGGAUUUUUUAUUUCCUGUUUUGAUUUCAGCUUAUGCCCUGGCUGGAAAACCUCAAUUUAUGUUCAUGACAGUGGGGAUUUUUUUAAAUGUCUACAUUCUUUCUAAUAAACUGUUGGAAGAUUUCUUGGCUGUCCUUUUAAGUGUCCGUUUGCUCUAAUUUCAUGUAUUUACCCUUUACUGGAAUGGAGUUUGUUUUUUGAGGGAAAUUUGGGGCUGGUCCUAUUUGAGCAGAGGCUUGCUGUACUGUCCCAGGAACCCUGUACAGUGCGACUGUAAUGGGAGGCUGUGGGUGCACUUUGCAGGCAGCUGGACAAGUACUGUGACUCGAUUGAAAUAAAACUGAAUGUGUUGUCCUCCUGUACAUUUUUCACUCCUGCAUUUUAGCAGUGUCGCUCUUUGAUGGCUUCUGAAAUCUGUCCAGCCUGAAGUGUCAAAAAUAAAAAGCUUAGUAAUUUC
rnacentral:lncRNA from 1 species